GUGAGCGCUGAGUGGGCCCGGAGUCUUCCUCAGGAGAAGGAGGGUGGGACCUGGGAGCCGCCCGCGGGCAGAUGCAGUGUCCCCGCCGAAGCUGGGGCGCCGAGCGGCUGGGGCCUGCGGAUGCCUUGCUGGGAUCUUGGGCGGCGGGCGGGGUGGCCGCGCGAGGCGCUGAAGGCUUGCGGGGUGGGGGUGUCGUCAGUGCCCGGCGCAUCGUCGUGUUUCUAUCAUUCUUCCUGCCCUUGGGUGUGGGUUACUAAAAGAAGCAUGGAAAACAUCCCACUAUGUCUAUGAUGAUAUUUUAUUAACUUUGGCUUACACAUAGAAAUACUUUUUACUAACUAGAAAUGAGAGACAUAGAGAUAUUACAUCUGCUGGUUCUACUCCCCCAAAAUGUGCACAACAGACCAGGCUGAACCAGGCUGAAGCCAGGAGCUCCAUCUGAGUCUUCUGCAUGGGUGGCAGGGACCCAACCUACUUGAGACAUCACCUGCUGCUUCCCAAGGUGUGCAUUAGUGGGAAGCUGGAAUCAGAAGCAGAGCUGGGACUCAAACACAGACACUCCAGUAAUAGAAUAUAGAGGCCCCAGGCAGCAUUGUAACCCCAUUUUUGAGACUUUCUGCAUUUUGUUGAAUAAUUUUUCUUCUUUAUUAUAUUUUCAUAUCAGUUUCAUUAUGAACAAUACUCCCUCAAUUUUCAGCUUCUGAAAAUGACAGCUCAUAUAUUAUAUUGUUUCUGAUUGUCUUUAUUUUUUUCUUCUGUUAUUCUAUGGAAUUUUCUGAGUAA